rnacentral:piRNA from 1 species
UGUUAUGAACAAGGUGGAUCUCAGUCAU